AGAGUUUGAUUCUGGCUCAGAACGAACGCUGGCGGCGUGGAUAAGACAUGCAAGUGGAACGACAGCUGGUGAGUAGCAAUAUUUACUAGAAGGAGUCGCGUAAGGGUGCGUAACACGUGGGCAACCUGCCCUGAAGUUUGGCAUAACUUGCUGAAAGGUAAGCUAAUUCCAAAUGUGAUUGUCAAUUGGCAUCUAUUGACACUCAAAGCUGGGGACCUUCGGGCCUGGCGCUUUAGGAUGGGCCCGCGGCCUAUCAGCUUGUUGGUGAGGUAACGGCUCACCAAGGCAACGACGGGUAGCUGGUCUGAGAGGACGAUCAGCCACACUGGAACUGAGACACGGUCCAGACACCUACGGGUGGCAGCAGUCGAGAACCUUUCACAAUGGGCGAAAGCCUGAUGGAGCGACGCCGCGUGGGGGAUGAAGGGCUUCGGCUCGUAAACCCCUGUCAUUUGGGAGCAACUCUUUUCUGUUAAUAGCGGAAAAGCUGAUAGUACCAAAAGAGGAAGGGACGGCUAACUCCGUGCCAGCAGCCGCGGUAAUACGGAGGUCCCAAGCGUUGUUCGGAUUCACUGGGCGUAAAGGGUGCGUAGGCGGUCAGAUAAGUCUAAUGUGAAAUCUCCGGGCUCAACCCGGAAACUGCAUCGGAUACUAUUUGGCUUGAGGAUUGGAGGGGGGGCUGGAAUUCUCGGUGUAGCAGUGUAAUGCGUAGAUAUCGAGAGGAACACCAGUGGCGAAGGCGAGUCCCUGGACAAUUCCUGACGCUGAGGCACGAAAGCUGGGGGAGCAAACAGGAUUAGAUACCCUGGUAGUCCCAGCCGUAAACGGUGCACGCUUGCUGUGCGCGGAUUCGACCCCGUCCGUGGCGUAGCAAACGCGUUAAGCGUGCCGCCUGGGAAGUACGGUCGCAAGAUUAAAACUCAAAGAAAUUGACGGGGGCCUGCACAAGCGGUGGAGUAUGUGGCUUAAUUCGAUCAACGCGAAGAACCUUACCUGGCCUUGACAUGCAUCUCUAAGUCGGUGAAAGCCGGCGAGGUAGCAAUACCAAUUUGCACAGGUGCUGCAUGGCUGUCGUCAGCUCGUGUCGUGAGAUGUUGGGUUAAGUCCCGCAACGAGCGCAACCCCUGCAUUCUGUUGCCACCCGGUCGAGAGACUGGAGCACUCUGAAUGGACUGCCUCGCUUCAACGAGGAGGAAGGUGGGGAUGACGUCAAGUCAGUAUGGCCCUUACGGCCAGGGCUGCACACGUACUACAAUGCCCGGAACAGUGGGAAGCAAGACCGCGAGGUGGAGCAAAUCCUCAAAUUCGGGCCCAGUUCGGAUUGUAGUCUGCAACUCGACUACAUGAAGCCGGAAUCGCUAGUAAUGGCGCAUCAGCUACGGCGCCGUGAAUACGUUCCCAGGCCUUGUACACACCGCCCGUCACAUCAUGAAAGCCGGUUGUACCCGAAGUCGCCCGUAAAAAUGUGCCGAAGGUAUGGCUGGUGAUUGGGAUGAAGUCGUAACAAGGUA
rnacentral:rRNA from 1 species